GAUGAACGCUGGCGGCGUGCCUAAUACAUGCAAGUCGAGCGAACGGACGAGAAGCUUGCUCCUCUGAUGUUAGCGGCGGACGGGUGAGUAACACGUGGAUAACCUACCUAUAAGACUGGGAUAACUUCGGGAAACCGGAGCUAAUACCGGAUGAUAUUUUGAACCGCAUGGUUCAAAAGUGAAAGACGGUCUUGCUGUCACUUAUAGAUGGAUCCGCGCUGCAUUAGCUAGUUGGUAAGGUAACGGCUUACCAAGGCAACGAUGCAUAGCCGACCUGAGAGGGUGAUCGGCCACACUGGAACUGAGACACGGUCCAGACUCCUACGGGAGGCAGCAGUAGGGAAUCUUCCGCAAUGGGCGAAAGCCUGACGGAGCAACGCCGCGUGAGUGAUGAAGGUCUUCGGAUCGUAAAACUCUGUUAUUAGGGAAGAACAUAUGUGUAAGUAACUGUGCAUGUCUUGACGGUACCUAAUCAGAAAGCCACGGCUAACUACGUG
rnacentral:rRNA from 1 species